UUACCGUGGAAAAAUUAAAAUGCAUUUGCUCUUCUUUCCAUGCUUUCAUUCUCUUCUACGUAUCUCAGUUUUCUCUCUCUCCUUUCAGAGUCUGGCACUUCAUGCUAUCUGCCUAUCUUAAGAACAUCAGAAUGGCCAUAGUGGGUCAGACCAAUGAUCCAUCUAUCUCCGUGUUCUGUGUUUUGAUGGUGGCCAGUGCCAGAUGCUUCAGAGGGAAUGAACAGAACAGGGCAAUUUUCAAGUGAUCCAGUCCCAGCUUCUGGCACUUGGGGGUUUAGGGACCCCUGCAGCAUGGGGUUGUGUCCCUGACCACCUUGGCUAAUCAAGGUUGAUGGACCUAUUCUCCAUGAAUUUCUCUAAUUCUUUUUUGAACCCAGUUAUGCUUUUGGGCUUCACAACACCCCAUGGCAUUGAGUUCCAUAUGUUGACGUUGUUGUGUGAAAAAGUACUUCAUGUUUGUUUUAAACCUGUUGCCUAUUUGUUUUGUCAGGUGACCCCUAGUUCUUAUGUUAUGUGAAGGGGUAAAUAAUACUUCCCUAUUCACUUUCUUCACACCAUUCAUGAUUUUAUAGACUUCUAUCAUAUCCCCCCCCCCCGUCAUCUUUUUUCUAAGAUGUACAGUCCCAGUCUUUUUAAUCUCUCCUUUUAUAAAAGCUGUUCCAUACCCCUAAUAAUUUUUGUUGCCUUUCUCUGCACCUUUCCCACUUCUAAUAUAUCUUUUUUUGAAAUGGGGUGUCUAGAACUGCAGGCAGUAUUCAAGAUUGGGCGUACCAUGAGUUAACAUAGUAACGACAUUAUAUUUUCUGUCUUCUUAUCUGUCCCUUUGCUAAUGGUUCCUAACAUUCUGUUAGCUUGUUUGACUGCCACUGUGCAUUGAGUGGGCAUUUUCAGAGAACUAUGCCUGAUGGCUCUAAGAUCUUUCUUGAGUGGUAACAGCUAAUUUAGAUCCCAUUAUUUUGUAUGUAUAGUUGGGAUUAUUUUAUCCAAUGUGCGUUUCUUUGUAUUUAUUAACAUUGAAUUUCAUCAGCCAUUUUGUCACAAAGGGAUCUCAAAAAACUGGGUAACUCUUUGCAGUCAGGUUUGGACUUAACUGUCUUGAGAAUUUUGUAUCAUUUGCAUAUAUCGCCACCUCACUGUUCGUCCCCUGUUCCAGAUCAUUUAUGAAUAUGUUGAACAACACAGGGCCCAGUACAGAUCUUUGGGGGACCUUGCUAUUUACCCAUCUCCACUUGUGAAAACUGACAACUUAGUACUAUCCUUUUUUUCAACCAGUUAGUGAUCCAUGAAAGAACCUUCCCUCUUAUACCAUGGCAGCUUAGGGCAUGGCUACACUUGCAGAUGUAGAGCGCUGUGAAUUAAACCCGCCUUCGGAGAGUGCAGUAGGGAAAGUGCUGCAGUCUGUCCACACUGACAGCUGCUUGUGCACUGGCAUGGCCACAUUUGCGGCACUUGCAGCGGCAUUGGGAGCGGUGCAUUAUGGGCAGCUAUCCUAGCAUUCAAGUGACUACCAAUGUGAUAUAUUCCAUCAUGUGCCAGCAAUGCCUCCUCUGUCAUGUACAUUGGCCAUACCGGACAAUCUCUACGCAAAAGAAUAAAUGGACACAAAUCUGACAUCAAGAAUCAUAACAUUCAAAAACCAGUAGGAGAACACUUCAGCCUCUCUGGUCACUCAGUAACAGACUUAAAGGUGGCAAUUUUGCAACAGAAAAGCUUCAAAAACAGACUCCAACAAGAAACUGCUGAACUAGAAUUAAUUUUCAAACUAGAUGCCAUUAACUUGGGCUUGAAUAGAGACUGGGAGUGGCUGGGUCAUUACACAAAUUGAGUCUAUUUCCCCAUGUUAAGUAUCCUCACACCUUCUUGUCAACUGUCUGGAAUGGUUUUAGAGUAGCAGCCGUGUUAGUCUGUAUCCGCAAAAAGAACAGGAGUACUUGUGGCACCUUAGAGACUAACAAAUAAAGUUUUUUUUCUCUUGCUGAUAAUAACUCAUCUUAAUUAGCCUCUUAGAGUUGGUAUGGCAACUUUCACCUUUUCAUGUUCUCUGUAUGUAUCUAUAUCUUCUUACUAUACGUUCCAUUCUAUGCAUCUGAUGAAGUGGGCUGUAGCCCAUGAAAGCUUAUGCUCAAAUAAAUUUGUUAGUCUCUAAGGUGCCACAAAUACUCCUGUUCUUUCAGUGUAGUAGGGCACUUCCAUCGCCCGGAAUAAGGCUGUAGUGUAGACACUUGACAGAAUUUGCUCUAGACACCUGGUGCCUCUAAAUUCCAGGGAGACGUUUGUGUUUCUAAAAAGCUGAAUAGUUGACCAUCUUCUUGCUGGUACAUAAGUGAUCUCUUGUUGUAAAGCCUUUUAGCUGCCAAACUGGGUGGCAGCUUGACUAGCAUGCUGGGAGGGAACGAUUCAUAAAUCACCUAAGUUUUACCUUCCCUCUGGACCAACACCUGCUUAACAGCAACCCUAAUGAGGGCUGAAUAAGAUUACCACUGAGCACUUCCUUGGGUGUUUAGUGGGGAUAAUCAGAGCUGACUUUCACUAGUCAGGGGUAAGUAGAGCCCUAAGGUAAUUGGGAGUGGCACACACUCUCUGCAGAAGAGGGGGGAUAUAAAAUGGGUAUCCAUGGACUAAUAUAUAGGGACUAUAGCUUACAACCUUACAACUAAAGUUAUGAUGAAUUAAGCCUUUUCUACUUGUAGAUUAUCCAGGAACCAAUCACAAGCUCCUCAAAUGUAUUUAUUCUCGUAGCUUUUUGAAUACUUCAUUGCAAAUACUUAAAAUUAGAGCAGUGCUGGUUAUUUGUGACUGGUUAGAUAAUUCAUAAUGUUGUUUUUGUUCCCUGACUCCCUGAAUGUGCAAGUACUUAUGCAUGUGAAUCUUAAAAUUGUUCCUGUUAGACCUUGGUGGUUUGAAUAACUGAAUCAUAGGGUAGGUCUACACUUACCUCCGGGUGCGGCAGUAGGCAAUCGAUCUUCUGGGCUCAAUUUAUCGCGUCCUGUCUAGACGCGAUAAAUCGAUCCUGGAUUGAUCCCGGAAGCGCUCGCCAUCGACGCCGGUACUCCAGCUCGGCGAGAGGAGCACGCGGCAUCAACGGGGGAGCCUGCCUGCCGCAUCUGGACCCGCGGUAAGUUCGAACUAAGGAACUUCGAAUUCAGCUACGUUAUUAACGUAGCUGAAUUUGCGUACCCUAGUUCGAAGUGGGGGGUUAGUGUGGACCAGGCCAUAGAAAUGCAGAGUUGGAAGGCACCUCAAGAAGUCAAGUCCAUCUCCCUGCACUGAGGCAGGACCAAGUAAACCUAGACCAGGGAUAGGCAACCGAUGGCACGCGUGCCAAAGGCAGCACAUGAGCUGAUUUUCAGUGGUACUCACAGUGCCCGGGUCCUGGCCACCGGUCCGGGGGGCUCUGCAUUUUAAUUUAAUUUUAAAUGAAGCUUCUUAAACGUUUUAAAAACCUUAUUUACUUUACAUACAACAAUAGUUUAGUUAUAUAUUAUAAACCUAUUGAAAGAGACCUUCUAAAAACGUUAAAAUGUAUUACUGGCACGCGAAACCUUAAAUUAGAGUGAAUAAAUGAAGACUCGGCACACCACUUCUGAAAGGUUGCCGACCCCUGACCUAGACCAACCCUGAUAGGUGUUUGUAUAAUGUGUGCAGCCCUCCUCACUGUCUGCUAUCUCUGACAGGAGCAUGGAGCAUGCACAAUUCUGCGCUAUUGUAAGUAUUGCAAGCACAGGACACGUGAUCCUCUGGUAUUUGCAGAGCUGUAAGAAUAAUCAAAUCAGCGGGGAACAUGACAGUUUCUUGGAGGAUAGGCUGCUGUGGGAUAUAGCGAGAACCAAUUCAAAGUUGUUGGUGCCAUUUACAGAGCAGCUGAAGAUGGUGGAGUGCCACUUCUGGGUCUGAGAAGCAAGCACUGACUGGUGGGAUCCCAUCGUAAUGCAGGCUUGGGAUGAGGAGCUGUGGCUGCAGAACUUUCGGAUGUGCAAGGCCACAUUCCUGGAUCUGUAUGCCACACUCGCCCCAGCUCUCCAGCAUAGGACACUGAAGUGAGAGCUGCACUGACAGAGAAGAAGCACUAUGCAGAUUUCACAGGCGAGACCAGUAUUUCUCAAAUUGGGGGUUCUGACCCAAAAGGGAGUUGUGGGGGGGGGGGUCCACAAGGUUAUUUUAGGGGGAUCUGCAACUCCUUUUUGGGUCAGGACCCCUGCAAUUACAACGCCUUGAAAUUUCAGAUUCAAAUAGCUGAAAUCAUGAAAUUUACGGGUUUUUAAAAUCCUAUGACCAUGACAUUGACCAAAAUGGACCGUGAAUUUGGUAGGGCCUAGUUAUAGCUGUCUAGUGUGCUGGAUAAUAUGUGUGAAGCAAAGGGGGAAAAGUUGCGUCUGGGGCAAAGGGUAGAGGUGGAGUAUCUGUCUGCAGUGCUUGAGCAGCCAGAUAGAAGGAGCUUAUAGGGCUCAGGGAGGCUUUGAAAGAGCAUUUAAACAGCAACCCACAAUAAUGUGUUGUGGUGUACUGUGCUCUACCUGACCCUGCUGUUUUGGGGUCUGUUAAGAAUUGUGUGACACUUGGUGUACAUCUAUGAAUAUACCACUGUCAGUGCACCUAUGAAUUUUGCAGUGCUUGCUGUAUAUUUGAUAUUAUACUGUUUGCCACUGAUCUUAUGAGUUGUUACACUAUACAGUAACAAGUGGGUGAUUUCAAAACUGGUUGGCACUCUGCAGCAUAUGUUUGUGAACUAAUAAAGAUGAAUUAUUUUCCAAGAAUUUUAUUCAGUAAUAGAAUCAGUACAAAGAAAAGUCUGUGCAAUUUAAAAGCAAAUACAUUAAAAACUUAAGUUCUGUUCCAUUGAUUUAUUAACAAGGGGAAGAACAUUCAUGUCCAUUUUACAUCCAUGUACAGCAACUGUGGCAUUCACAGAUCAGUGUUUGUGAAGCUGUGGUUGUCCUUUAAUGAUGGAGUGUUAGGGGUAGGGAUGCGGCCCCUGAAAACACAUGGUAUGUAGGGGUGGGUGUGAGUGCGCAUGCUGUAAUGAAGUUCUCCGUGGUCUGCAAAGGGGGUGAGCCCAGGAUUGUUGAAUCUGUAAGGUCCAUAAGAGUCUGCAGCAUCUGUUUGCUGCCAGUGAAGCCCCGUUAUGUUCUAGUCCCUCUGGGGCACCUGGCAUUGGCCACUGUCGGUAGACAGGAUACUGGGCUAGAUGGACCUUGGUCUGACCCAGUAGGGUCGUUCUUAUGUUUAUGUUCUUAUGAUCACCAUCCUUUUAUAACAACCCUUAAUGUAUUUGAAGAUUAUCAGGUGCUCUCUCAGCUUUCUUUUCUCAAGACUAAACAUGCCCAGUUUUUUUAACCUUUUCUUAUAGGUCAGGUUUUCUGGACCUUUCAUCAUUUUUGUUGCUCUCCUCUGGACUCACCCAAUUUGUCCACUUUCCUAAAGUGUGGUGCCCAUAAUUGGACACAGUACUCAGCUGAGGCCUCACCAGUGCUGAGACAAGAGAAACAAUUACUUCCUGUUUUUUCCACGCAUCACUCCUGUUAGUGGACCCCAGAAUAUUAGCUUUUUUCUCAGCUGCAUCACGUUCAUAUUCAGUUUGUGAUCUACUAUAACCCCCAGAUUCUUUUCAGCAGUACACUUAGCCUGUUGUUCCUAUUUUGUAGUUGUGCAUUUGAUGUUUUUUCUUCUUAAGUGUAGGACUGUGCACUUGUCAUUAUUGAAUUUAAUCUUGUUGAUUUCAGACCAAUUUUCCAAUUUAUAAAGGCCAUUCUUCAAAAUGCUUGCAACUCCUCCCAUCUUGGUGUCAUCUGCAAAUUUGAUAAGUGUACUCUCCACUCAAUCAUCCAUGUCAUUAAUGAAAGUACUGAGUGAUACUGGACCUGGGACAUACCCCGUGGGUCCCCACUAGAUACAUCCCUCAAAUUUGACAGAGAACCAUUGAUAGUACUCUUUGAGUACUUAUAGUUAUUUCAUCUAGACCACAUUUCCCCUGUUUGCUUAUGAGACUGUCAUGUGUGACUGUCAAAACCCUUACAAAAAUCAAGAUAUAUCACAUCUACUUCUUCUCCCAAUCCACCAGGCCAGUAACCUUGUCAAAGAAGGCAAUUAGAUUAAUUUGGGAAUAAUUUGUCCUUUACAAAUCCAUGCUGGCUAUUCCCAUAACCCUAUAAUCCUCUUGGUGCUUAAGUGUUGUUCAUGGGAGCAAGUGGAAAGGAUGUGAGCAUGACUGGUGUGGAUUCACUAAUGAGCAUAAGUGACUGUCUGUGGAAAACCAUUUGUAUUUGCUUAGCUCUGAUGUGGUGGGUCGCUCAGACCCUGAGGCUAGGUCUACACUACCCGCCUGAAUCGGAGGGUAGAAAUCGACCUCUCGGGGAUCGAUUUAUCCCGUCCCGUCGGGACGCGACAAUCGAUCCCCAAAUCGGCGCUCUUACUCCACCAGCGGAGGUGGGAGUAAGCGCCGCCGACAGAAAGCCGCAGAAGUCGAUUUUGCCGCCGUCCUCACAGCGGGGUAAGUCGACUGCGAUACGUCGAAUUCAGCUACGCUAUUCACGUAGCUGAAUUUGCGUAUCUUAAAUCGACUCCCCCCUGUAGUGUAGAUGUACCCUGAGGGUAUUGCAGGAACUCUAGAGUAGGAGACUCCAGUGUGUUGCCUGGAGAUCAUAGAAAGGAACAGUGAAUUAUUGAGUGCAGUGAGAAUGUCAGGCAGCUUUUUGUACGCUCUCUGACUCAAGGGUCUAAAGUUAAACUUAGCGGUGCUAACAGCUGUGAUGGAUUCAGAGGAGUCACUGUUCCUGGAAUGACUAACAAAAGUGGCUGACAAACCAGAUGAGAGUGAGUAUAAGGACUGCAAUCUGUAAAGAUGACAGUGCACCAUCUUAGCCAAGGAAUCAAUGAAAGAUGAGUUCAGAGGUGAAUGAGAUCAGUAGGUUUGGAAGAAGCAGAAUGCCAUUGUGAGACAGGGAAGCACAGACAAUGAAAUGCUGCUGUAUGGCAGUUGUUAACUUGCUGUUAUUACCUGGUAAUCUACUCCUCUUGGUCAAGAGCAGAUAACUGUAGUUUCCUUGAGGGAAAAAGAGAAAAUCAGGUGGGGAUUUGGCGUGCUUGCUGUGUCCCUGCCUCAGACUUGCUCAGGAGUCUAGGCAGAAUUGAAUACUUUUAAAAUACUCUUGUAACUUGCAUAAAAAAUUGUGUGUCAAAGACCACAAACCAAAUAAAUAUUUCACCAUUUAGUAAAAGAAAGGUGAUAUGGCUAAGAUGACUGGAAUCCCCAUGGGACACUCUCAUAGCCGUGUUGGACUUGGGUGGGUGGCGAAAAAGAGGUGGAAAAGAGUACUUGUUACUAUUAACAGCUGAUCCACCAGCCAGGGAAGGUAGAAUCCAUGCUCCAGACAAAUGCAUAGUUCUAGUUCCUUUACUCAGGGCUCUUAUGUUUUGAAUCUUGGUGUCUCAAUAAAGCAACCUAAUAUAGUCUCAGUACCCUUCAGGGUCAUAUGUUAGCAUUUGUCUCUAGGACUUCACAGCCCUACCCUGCUGAGGUUUCUCUCCAGCCAGCUCCUGCUCCCUGUAGGUGUCGUCUUGUCAUGCUUUCAACCUGAGGGGUACAGAGACCUCCCCCUUCCUCUGCCUGCUCCUCUGCCUAAGAGAGAGAAACUUUGUGAUUGCCUUUAGGCACAUCACUAGGAGCAAAUAUGUGACCUACAACUACAUCUCUCAGCCUUAAAGGGCUCAACGGCUGUACCAUGUGCUUCAGUACACUGCAGUCCAUUGGUGGAAAUAGUGAUUUUUGUGUAUACUUUAUAUAAUGGUUAAGCUUGUAAAGUGCUUUGGGGGGAACAUGGGGACAAAAGUUGCUAUAUAAAUAACAAUAAGAUUCAUGUUGUGCAUAUGAUAUGGAGCAGUUUAGAAGGAUUCAAGGAGAGCUGCAGAGCACUGACUUGCCACAAUUGUUUUCCUGCCUGCUGUCAUACCAUAUGUUUGAAUAGAUAGGAACAAAAAGCGAGUGUCCGAGUAGGGAGAAGAGCAGUGACAUAGCUGCUCAACUCCCAUGAGAGCUGUGCUGCUAGCUCACGUCUGUGAACACUUACCCUGGGGAGGAACUAACUAGUACUUAGCUUCUAUAAUGAUGUUCAUCUGAGGAUCUCAACAUGCUUUACAAAGGUUAAUAGCCCUUCUGCACCUCUGUGAUAUAGGGAAGUAUGAUCUUAUUAACUAACUAUAGCCCAAGGGGACACAGACUGAAGCAGGAAUAAAAACUUGGGAGUCCGAUUCCAGUUUCUUGGCUCUAACCACUAGAAAAUACUGACCUGUAAAACAAACAACUUAGUAAUUGUGAGGCCUGAAAAUAAGCUCAUUAGUUUUACCGAUAAAAUAACCCCACCUCCCCACUCUCUGCUGGACGGUACUUUCUCUCCUCUCCACCACAGCUUCCCAGGACCAGUGCACCCCAUGCUUUCUCCAGGAAUACUCUAAAACGCUGGUGAUGUGCUGUCUGCCGGGAUGGAGAUGCUGGGCAGCCUCCUCUUUCAUCACUAUUAAAAUACAUACCCUUGCUGGUGGCGUGGGGAGAAUGUUGCCUAUGAGGCCGGAAUGUGUUCCCAGCUCUUGCUGGAGGAGCAGGUACUCAAAUAUGCCUGGGAACUUCUUAAUCUUUAUUAUGACUUCACUCUCUUUUGGCAGGAAACCAUUUUCUUUGUGGCCGUGUUUUGGCUUUUUCAUGCAGCCCCUUCUUCCCUCCUCAUCCCUGCUCCCCUAGCCAGGAAAUCCCAUCUUUCUCUUCUAGUUUUAGCCAAGGGAAUAUGUUGUUUAUCUUCUCAGCUUCUUUGUCCCACGGGCCCCCCUGCAACUACAGUUUCUAUUCCUGCCUGGCUCAGCUCAGCCCUUCUGCCCUCUGACACAGAGAGAACCAUGCAGCUUAGUGUUUGAAGGAAGAAGGGUCUUUAGGACAAGCCGUUAUAAACCAAGAAUGUGUUUGCUCUGCAUGGUCACUAGAACCCCUGGCACUUCUCUAAGAGGAGGGGCUUGCCCUGUUGUCCUUGGGCACAAGUUUCACUUGCCCUUUUGUGCCUUGGCUGCCUGCCAUCCCCUUCAGCUGUGCUGUAUAAAUGUAGUUAUGAAGCACUGUGGGAUGAAAGGUGCUGUAUAAAUGUAAACUGUUCUCAUUAGCCCUUGUUGAAAGAUCUGCUGCCUGUGCCUUGGUUUUUCCUUUUACCACCACCACAGUUUGUGUAUUGUUUCAGCAAGGUACUGACAAGGAGUCAGAACCAGGACUAAUACCCUAAUCCUACCAUUGACUUGCUGUGUGAUCUUGGCUUUAUCUUCACGUUACAGAACAGUGUUGGGAAUCCUGCUCACCUGAGGAGCUGCAGGAAAAAGUUCUAGGAGUGCUUCUGAUUGCUGCUGUCCCUGGGUCCCUGCCUGCCAG